rnacentral:rRNA from 1 species
AAAACGGAGAGUUUGAUCCUGGCUCAGGAUGAACGCUGGCGGUAUGCUUAACACAUGCAAGUCGAACGGGAUGCUUAGGCAUCUAGUGGCGGACGGGUGAGUAACGCGUGAGAAUCUGGCUCCAGGUCGGGGAUAACAGUUGGAAACGACUGCUAAUACCGGAUGUGCCGAGAGGUGAAAGAUUUAUCGCCUGGAGAUGAGCUCGCGUCUGAUUAGCUAGUUGGUGGUGUAAGGGACCACCAAGGCGUCGAUCAGUAGCUGGUCUGAGAGGAUGAUCAGCCACACUGGGACUGAGACACGGCCCAGACUCCUACGGGAGGCAGCAGUGGGGAAUUUUCCGCAAUGGGCGAAAGCCUGACGGAGCAAUACCGCGUGAGGGAGGAAGGCUCUUGGGUCGUAAACCUCUUUUCUCAAGGAAGAAGAAAGUGACGGUACUUGAGGAAUAAGCAUCGGCUAACUCCGUGCCAGCAGCCGCGGUAAUACGGAGGAUGCAAGCGUUAUCCGGAAUGAUUGGGCGUAAAGGGUCUGCAGGUGGAACUGAAAGUCUGCUGUUAAAGAGUUUGGCUUAACCAAAUAAAAGCGGUGGAAACUACAGAACUAGAGUGUGGUAGGGGCAAAAGGAAUUCCUGGUGUAGCGGUGAAAUGCGUAGAUAUCAGGAAGAACACCGGUGGCGAAAGCGUUUUGCUAGACCAUAACUGACACUGAGGGACGAAAGCUAGGGGAGCGAAUGGGAUUAGAUACCCCAGUAGUCCUAGCCGUAAACGAUGGAUACUAGGCGUGGCUUGUAUCGACCCGAGCCGUGCCGGAGCUAACGCGUUAAGUAUCCCGCCUGGGGAGUACGCACGCAAGUGUGAAACUCAAAGGAAUUGACGGGGGCCCGCACAAGCGGUGGAGUAUGUGGUUUAAUUCGAUGCAACGCGAAGAACCUUACCAAGACUUGACAUCCUGCGAAUCUCGGUGAAAGCUGGGAGUGCCUUAGGGAGCGCAGAGACAGGUGGUGCAUGGCUGUCGUCAGCUCGUGUCGUGAGAUGUUGGGUUAAGUCCCGCAACGAGCGCAACCCUCGUUUUUAGUUGCCAGCAUUAAGUUGGGCACUCUAGAGAGACUGCCGGUGACAAACCGGAGGAAGGUGAGGAUGACGUCAAGUCAGCAUGCCCCUUACGUCUUGGGCUACACACGUACUACAAUGCUACGGACAGAGGGCAGCGAGCCAGGGAUGGCAAGCGAAUCCAGAAACCGUAGCUCAGUUCAGAUCGAAGGCUGCAACUCGCCUUCGUGAAGGAGGAAUCGCUAGUAAUUGCAGGUCAGCAUACUGCAGUGAAUUCGUUCCCGGGCCUUGUACACACCGCCCGUCACACCAUGGAAGUUGGUCACGCCCGAAGUCAUUACCCCAACCGAAAGGAGGGGGAUGCCUAAGGUAGGACUGGUGACUGGGGUGAAGUCGUAACAAGGUAGCCGUACCGGAAGGUGUGGCUGGAUCACCUCCUUUU